UUUAAUAGCCGCAGUAUAUUGACUGUGCGAAGGUAGCAUAAUCAUUUGUCUUUUAAUUGAAGGCUUGUAUGAAUGGUUUGAUGAGAAAGUAACUUUCUUUAUAUUAAGUGUUGAAUUUAAUUUUUUAGUUAAAAAGCUUAAAUACUUCAAUGGGACGAGAAGACCCUAUAGAAUUUUAUUUGUAUUUGAAUUAUUUUAUUUUAGAUAUAAUUUAUUUAUUAAUUUAACUAUAAAUUUUGUUGGGGUGACAGUAAGAUUUUAUUAACUCUUAUAUUUAUUAAUUUUAUUGAUGAUUAUUUUUAAGAUCCUAUUUUAUGGAUAUUUAGAUUAAAUUACCUUAGGGAUAACAGCGUAAUUUCUUCUUAGAGUUCUUAUCGAUGAAGAAGUUUGCGACCUCGAUGUUGGAUUAAAAUUAGAUUUAAGUGCAGAAGCUUAAUUUUCUAGGUCUGUUCGACCUUUAAAGUUUUACAUGAUCUGAGUUCAAACCG
rnacentral:rRNA from 1 species